GCAUAGCAUAUAGGCUCUUUGGAGUAAAGCUAAAAUGUAGGCUGAGUGCAGUGGAAGGGGAAGCAAGCAGAGGCUAUUAUACCAAGCAGACAGCCACACCUACAAAGGAGGAACCAAACCUGGAUCUCCUGGAGCUUAGUGAAUGAGCCUCAACCACAUGAGCAAAAAGCCAACUGGCUCUGAGGGCUUUCGAUUUCCAAGCAUUAAGUUAACUUCACAGCUGCCUAAGGAAGAAAACAGGUAAUAUCCCUGAUCACAGGUGAGAAAAUUUAGUCCCAGAGGGGAGAUGACCACAGCUGCUGCAAAUUGUCUCGGUUCUGACUGCAAAGGAGCUCUGACAACAUCUAUCAU